GCCCUUGUUGUCUAAUGGUUAUGACGUCAGACUUCUACCGUUGAAGCGAAUCUGGAGGUUGCGGGUUCGAGUCCCGCCAGGGGUU